AUGACAGGGAUGAGUAGGGACACUGGGCAGGCACCCUUCUUGGAUCAUUUACGGUUACAGUCUGCGAGCCAGGCACCCUGCUCUCUGAAGCUCCGACGUCUGCUUGUUAAGCGCCGCAUAGCAGUCCACGGAGUGAACACACCACGUUUUAUUUUCCUGUGUAAAAAUGUUCAACUCCUUCAGCUUUGGGGAAAACAUCCUAGUGGAGACGAAGCCAACCAUCCGAGGCAGUUUUGCUGGUUCGGAAGCCGCGGAAGAGCAACUGCCAGAACCACCUUGCGCGCUCACCUCCCCCAGCAGGUGACGGCCGAAGUCGGCGGGGUCCGCACCUGCGCCCGCAGGCGGGCGGGGCGGGGCGGGGGCGCCCGCAGGGGCAAGCGGGGUCCACCCCGGCCCUCCCCGGUCGCGGCGGGUCCUCCCGGCCGCCCGCCCUCGCCUUCUCUCUUCCCCUUUAACUUCCUAGCUUCCCCGCGGCGCCCGGAGCAGGAGCAGGCAGGUUUAUUGAAAAGGAAGCGGAUGCAGACCCCCACUCACCUCGAUCCUGUCCCCGUGGCCCGUCGUCUCCGCCGAGAGGUGGCCCCGGGGCUUCCGCCCGGGCCGGGCGCUCGCGAGGGACUCCCGAGCCGCGGGGACCGCCACGCGGGGCGCCCACCUGUCCGGCGGCGGGCGCGGGGCUGCGCGGGGCUGCGCGGGGCGGGCUGCGCGGGGCGGGGCGGGGCGGCGGCACCUGAGCCGCCGGGGCUUCCGAGCCGAGCGCGCUGCCCCGGGAGCGAACGGCAGCGGGUGUCCCCCGCCGCGCUCCCCAGAGGCCGCCGGGCAGUCGCCUGGGAGAGCGAUGGUCCCCGGGACCUAGGCGUCGGCCCCAUCCUCCUUUGA
rnacentral:lncRNA from 1 species